CUUUUCGAACUCCCCCGACCGUCCGAGCUUUCAUAAUACCAUCCGAACUUCUCCAAUAAUGGGCUCCUCCAUUCAUCUACCGAACUGCUCCAAACACUUUCUGAGCUUCACUACCAGCUGAUUUUCUAUAGUGAUCGACUAUUCUUCGAAUCUCUUCCAGACUUCUUCCAGCCAUGAACUACUUUACUCCGAAUUUCUUUCGGACUUCGUC
rnacentral:lncRNA from 1 species